rnacentral:rRNA from 1 species
UACAGAGGGGGCAAGCGUUGUUCGGAAUUACUGGGCGUAAAGGGCGCGUAGGCGGCCCGCUAAGUCGAACGUGAAAUCCCCGAGCUCAACUCGGGAACUGCGUCCGAUACUGGUGGGCUUGAAUCCGGGAGAGGGAUGCGGAAUUCCAGGUGUAGCGGUGAAAUGCGUAGAUAUCUGGAGGAACACCGGUGGCGAAGGCAGCCUCCUGGGCCAACACUGACGCUCAUGCACGAAAGCGUGGGGAGCAAACAGG